rnacentral:rRNA from 1 species
GACGAACGCUGGCGGCGUGCUUAACACAUGCAAGUCGAACGGAAAGGCCCUGCUUUUGUGGGGUGCUCGAGUGGCGAACGGGUGAGUAACACGUGAGUAACCUGCCCUUGACUUAGGGAUAACUUCAGGAAACUGGGGCUAAUACCGGAUAGGAGCUCCUGCUGCAUGGUGGGGGUUGGAAAGUUUCGGCGGUUGGGGAUGGACUCGCGGCUUAUCAGCUUGUUGGUGGGGUAGUGGCUUACCAAGGCUUUGACGGGUAGCCGGCCUGGGAGGGUGACCGGCCACAUUGGGACUGAGAUACGGCCCAGACUCCUACGGGAGGCAGCAGUGGGGAAUAUUGCACAAUGGGCGGAAGCCUGAUGCAGCAACGCCGCGUGCGGGAUGACGGCCUUCGGGUUGUAAACCGCUUUCGCCUGUGACGAAGCGUGAGUGACGGUAAUGGGUAAAGAAGCACCGGCUAACUACGU